rnacentral:rRNA from 1 species
UCCGGUUGAUCCUGCCGGACCCCACUGCUAUCGGGAUAGGACUAAGACAUGCUAGUCGAGCGCUCUUCAGCCAUGAUAAGAGCGCGGCACACAGCUCAGUAACACGUGGCUAACCUGCCCUCGGGACGGGAACACCCCCGGGAAACUGGGGCUAAUUCCCGAUAGGUGAAGAACUCUGGAAUGAGUCUCCACCCAAAAGACGUUCAGGUCAUGCUCCUGAAUGCCGCCCAAGGAUGGGGCCGCGACCGAUCAGGUUGUUGGUGAGGUAACGGCCCACCAAGCCUUUUACCGGUGCGGGCCGUGGGAGCGGGAGCCCGGAGAUGGGCACUGAGACAAGGGCCCAGGCCCUACGGGGCGCAGCAGUCGCGAAAACUUUGCAAUAAGCGAAAGCUUGACAGGGCUAUCCCGAGUGCCAUCCGCUGAGGAAGGCUUUUACCCAGUCUAGAACGCUGGGAGAAUAAGGAGAGGGCAAGUCUGGUGUCAGCCGCCGCGGUAAUACCAGCUCUCCGAGUGGUGUGGAUGUUUAUUGGGCCUAAAGCAUCCGUAGCUGGCCAGGCAAGUCCCCUGUUAAAUCCACCGAAUCAAUCGUUGGAUUGCGGGGGAUACUGCCCGGCUAGGGGACGAGAGAGGCCGAC